rnacentral:tRNA from 1 species
GGGCCAGUAGCUCAAUGGUAGAGCAGUACCCUCUUAAGGUAUUGGUUGGGGGUUCGACUCCCUCCUGGCUCA